rnacentral:lncRNA from 1 species
CCCCGGGGAAUACUGCGGGUGGAGCUGCGGAAAGUGCUAGUAGUAGUUGCUUAUUUGUUUGCAGAAAUAAUUGCGUGGGUACGAAAGUCAAACGAGAAUGAAGCAAGUAUAUUAUCUAGUUUCUAUGUCUUUAAAUAGUUUAUCCUCCACACGUCUAAACAUACGCACCUGCUAGUAGGUGCGCAAACGUUAAAACUUCUUUGGAAAGCAAUUUGGCAAAAUCCAGUAAAAAAAGAUUUUCAAUUACUAUACCCUAGCACUCUGCUGCUACCUAUACGUCUUGUAGAAACUUUGGUAAAGAUUUCCCAAGACCAAAAGGCUUAUGUGCACUGCUCCAUUCCACUGUUUCUGCUGCUGGUUCUGCUUUGACUCUCCCAGAAGAAAACCAGGGUUGUCACCGGAAGUUCCUGAAUAAUACAUACUAUUGGCAACAAUGUAACAAAACGGACACACUGCACUCUCCAGUGGAAAUCACAGAAAUAUUUUUAAGAAUUUCUGACUACAGAAAAUUGGUUUUUUAAUUCCCUGUGCCAAGUUCAGAAAUAUACCCUCAUGGAACAAGAUAACUAAAAGAAGGAAACUACUUCAAGGUUAAAUAAAGGAAAAGAAAAGAGAGAAAAAAGGAAAGAAGCAGAAGGAAGAAGUCUGCUGCAGUACUGGAAGCAGGCAGAUUAUUGAAAUUACAGUGGUGCCAUGGAACAAGAGAAGGCAGAUGAAGAGUGACACCUUUCAAGUUAACACAGGUAAUGAAUCAUUUCCAGGGAGAGGGUUCUACCUCCUGGAGCACUAACGCAGAACCCAGUAUUGAAGAAAACCGGAUGGGUUACUUUGACUCAAGCAUUAAAAGGAAAGAGCA